rnacentral:rRNA from 1 species
GUGCCAGCAGCCGCGGUAAUACGUAGGUGGCAAGCGUUGUCCGGAUUUACUGGGCGUAAAGGAUGUGUAGGCGGAUAUUUAAGUGAGAUGUGAAAUCCCCGGGCUUAACUUGGGGGCUGCAUUUCAAACUGGAUGUCUAGCGUGCAGGAGAGGAAAGCAGAAUUCCUAGGGUAGCGGUGAAAUGCGUGGAGAUUAGGAAAAAUACCAGUGGCGAAGGCGACUUUCUGGA